UACGUAGGGGCAAGCGUUGUCCGGAUUAUUGGGCGUUAAAGAGCGUGUAGGCGGUCAGGUAGGUCCGUUGUGAAACUCGAGGCUCAACCUCGAGACGCCGAUGGAAACCAUCUGACUAGAGUCCGGAAGAGGAGAGUGGAAUUCCGUGGUGUAGCGGUGAAAUGCGCAGAUAUCAGGAAGAACACCCGUGGCUAAGGCGGCUCUCUAGUACGGUACUGACGCUGAGACGCGAAGCGUGGGGAGCAACAGGAU
rnacentral:rRNA from 1 species